rnacentral:rRNA from 1 species
AAUAUUGGACAAUGGGGGCAACCCUGAUCCAGCCAUGCCGCGUGAGUGCUGAAGGCCCUAGGGCUGUAAAGCUCUUUUGUGCGGGAAGAUAAUGACGGUACCGCAAGAAUAAGCCCUGGCCAACUUCGUGCAGCAGCCGCGGUAAUACGAAGGGGGCUAGCGUUGCUCGGAAUCACUGGGCGCAAAGGGUGCGUAGGCGGGUUUUUAAGUCAGGGGUGAAAUCCUGGAGCUCAACUCCAGGACUGCCUUUGAUACUGAAGAUCUUGAGUCCGGGAGAGGUGAGUGGAACUGCGAGUGUAGAGGUGAAAUUCGUAGAUAUUCGCAAGAACACCAGUGGCGAAGGCGGCUCACUGGCCCGGUACUGACGCUGAGGCACGAAAGCGUGGGGAGCAAACAG